rnacentral:sRNA from 1 species
CCCUGCCUGGGGAGUACGACCGCUUGGUUAAAAUUCAAAGGAAUUGACUGGGACCCGCACCCUUAAUGGAGCAUGUGGUUUAAUUCAAAGAUUCGUGUGUAACCUUACCAACUCUUGACAUGUUCGUCGCGACUCUAAUAGAUUAGAGUUUUCGGUUCGGCCGGACGAAACACAUGUGCUGCAUGGCUGUCGUCAGCUCGUGUCGUGAGAUGUUGGGUUAAGUCCCGCAACGAGCGCAACCCUCACUUUUAGUUGCCAUCAUUUAGUUGGGCACUCUGAAAGAACUGCCAGUGAUAAGCUGGAGGAAGGUGGGGAUGACGUCAAGUCCUCAUGGCCCUUACGUGUUGGGCUACACACGUGCUACAAUGGCAUCUACAACAGGAAGCAAGACUGCGACAUUAAGCAAAUCCUUAAAAGAUACCUCAGUUCGGAUUGCACUCUGCAACUCGAGUGCAUGAAGCUGGAAUUACUAGUAAUCGUGGAUCAGCGUGCCACGGUGAAUGCGUUCCCGGGUCUUGUACACACCGCCCGUCACACCAUGGGAGUUGGUUCUACCUUAAGGCAGAGUUUAAAACCUUGACCACGGUAUAGUCAGCGACUGGGGUGAAGUCGUAACAAGGUAGCCGUAGGGGAACCUGCGGCUGGAUUAUCUCCUUUCUAAGGAUGGUUAAGAAAAAUUUCUUAACAUAAAUAAUGAACAGGUUAAUGUUGACCGUCUUCAUUUCUCCUCUUAAAAGUGUUUCUCUUUACUGAAUAAGGGCCGGUAGCUCAGUUGGUUAGAGCACACCCUUGAUAAGGGUGGGGUGGAAAGUUCGAGUCUUUCUCGGCCCACCAUUUAUUUGGGGGAUUAGCUCAGCUGGGAGAGCGCCUGAUUUGCAUUCAGGAGGUCAGCGGUUCGAUCCCGCUAUCCUCCACCAGAAACACUCAGUUAUUUUAAUCGUAAAUAAAAAUUAUCAAUAUCUAUAUCCGAUUGUUAGAAUAGAUGAACAAUUAUGAAUGUUAUAUAAACACCAUUCAAAAAAAUUUGAUUCAACACAGAAUUUUUUUAAG